CCUACGGGUGGCAGCAGUGAGGAAUAUUGGUCAAUGGACGAGAGUCUGAACCAGCCAAGUAGCGUGAAGGAUGACUGCCCUAUGGGUUGUAAACUUCUUUUAUAUGGGAAUAAAAUGUUCCACGUGUGGGAUUUUGUAUGUACCAUAUGAAUAAGGAUCGGCUAACUCCGUGCCAGCAGCCGCGGUAAUACGGAGGAUCCGAGCGUUAUCCGGAUUUAUUGGGUUUAAAGGGAGCGUAGGUGGAUUGUUAAGUCAGUUGUGAAAGUUUGCGGCUCAACCGUAAAAUUGCAGUUGAAACUGGCAGUCUUGAUUACAGUAGAGGUGGGCGGAAUUCGUGGUGUAGCGGUGAAAUGCUUAGAUAUCACGAAGAACUCCGAUUGCGAAGGCAGUUCACUGGACUGCAACUGACACUGAGGCUCGAAAGUGUGGGUAUCAAACAGGAUUAGAUACCCUUGUAGUC
rnacentral:rRNA from 1 species